rnacentral:rRNA from 1 species
GACGAACGCUGGCGGCGUGCUUAACACAUGCAAGUCGAACGGAAAGGCCCUGCUUUUGUGGGGUGCUCGAGUGGCGAACGGGUGAGUAACACGUGAGUAACCUGCCCUUGACUUUGGGAUAACUUCAGGAAACUGGGGCUAAUACCGGAUAGGAGCUCCUGCUGCAUGGUGGGGGUUGGAAAGUUUCGGCGGUUGGGGAUGGACUCGCGGCUUAUCAGCUUGUUGGUGGGGUAGUGGCUUACCAAGGCUUUGACGGGUAGCCGGCCUGAGAGGGUGACCGGCCACAUGGGGACUGAGAGACGGCCCAGACUCCUACGGGAGGCAGCAGUGGGGAAUAUUGCACAAUGGGCGGAAGCCUGAUGCAGCAACGCCGCGUGCGGGAUGACGGCCUUCGGGUUGUAAACCGCUUUCGCCUGUGACGAAGCGUGAGUGACGGUAAUGGGUAAAGAAGCAACGGCUAACUACGUG